AUGAACGCUAGCUACAGGCUUAACACAUGCAAGUCGAGGGGCAGCAUGGUCUUAGCUUGCUAAGGCCGAUGGCGACCGGCGCACGGGUGAGUAACACGUAUCCAACCUGCCGUCUACUCUUGGACAGCCUUCUGAAAGGAAGAUUAAUACAAGAUGGCAUCAUGAGUCCGCAUGUUCACAUGAUUAAAGGUAUUCCGGUAGACGAUGGGGAUGCGUUCCAUUAGAUAGUAGGCGGGGUAACGGCCCACCUAGUCUUCGAUGGAUAGGGGUUCUGAGAGGAAGGUCCCCCACAUUGGAACUGAGACACGGUCCAAACUCCUACGGGAGGCAGCAGUGAGGAAUAUUGGUCAAUGGGCGAGAGCCUGAACCAGCCAAGUAGCGUGAAGGAUGACUGCCCUAUGGGUUGUAAACUUCUUUUAUAAAGGAAUAAAGUCGGGUAUGCAUACCCGUUUGCAUGUACUUUAUGAAUAAGGAUCGGCUAACUCCGUGCCAGCAGCCGCGGUAAUACGGAGGAUCCGAGCGUUAUCCGGAUUUAUUGGGUUUAAAGGGAGCGUAGAUGGAUGUUUAAGUCAGUUGUGAAAGUUUGCGGCUCAACCGUAAAAUUGCAGUUGAUACUGGAUAUCUUGAGUGCAGUUGAGGCAGGCGGAAUUCGUGGUGUAGCGGUGAAAUGCUUAGAUAUCACGAAGAACUCCGAUUGCGAAGGCAGCCUGCUAAGCUGCAACUGACAUUGAGGCUCGAAAGUGUGGGUAUCAAACAGGAUUAGAUACCCUGGUAGUCCACACGGUAAACGAUGAAUACUCGCUGUUUGCGAUAUACAGCAAGCGGCCAAGCGAAAGCGUUAAGUAUUCCACCUGGGGAGUACGCCGGCAACGGUGAAACUCAAAGGAAUUGACGGGGGCCCGCACAAGCGGAGGAACAUGUGGUUUAAUUCGAUGAUACGCGAGGAACCUUACCCGGGCUUAAAUUGCAGAUGAAUUACGGUGAAAGCCGUAAGCCGCAAGGCAUCUGUGAAAGUGCUGCAUGGUUGUCGUCAGCUCGUGCCGUGAGGUGUCGGCUUAAGUGCCAUAACGAGCGCAACCCUUGUUGUCAGUUACUAACAGGUUCCGCUGAGGACUCUGACAAGACUGCCAUCGUAAGAUGUGAGGAAGGUGGGGAUGACGUCAAAUCAGCACGGCCCUUACGUCCGGGGCUACACACGUGUUACAAUGGGGGGGUACAGAGGGCCGCUACCACGCGAGUGGAUGCCAAUCCCAAAAACCUCUCUCAGUUCGGACUGGAGUCUGCAACCCGACUCCACGAAGCUGGAUUCGCUAGUAAUCGCGCAUCAGCCACGGCGCGGUGAAUACGUUCCCGGGCCUUGUACACACCGCCCGUCAAGCCAUGGGAGCCGGGGGUACCUGAAGUGCGUAACCGCGAGGAGCGCCCUAGGGUAAAACUGGUGACUGGGGCU
rnacentral:rRNA from 1 species